AUACGUAGGGGGCGAGCGUUGUCCGGAAUGAUUGGGCGUAAAGGGCGCGUAGGCGGCCUGUUAAGUCUGGAGUGAAAGUCCUGUUUUCAAGAUGGGAAUUGCUUUGGAUACUGAUGGGCUUGAGUGCAGGAGAGGUUAUCGGAAUUCCCGGUGUAGCGGUGAAAUGCGGAGAGAUCGGGAGGAACACCAGUGGCGAAGGCGACUCUCUGGUCUGUAACUGACGCUGAGGCGCGAAAGCUUGGGGAGCAAACAGGAUUAGAUACCCUGGUAGUCCACGCCGUAAACGAUGAGUGCUAAGGGUUGGAGGGUUUCCGCCCUUCAGUGCUGCAGCUAACGCAUUAAGCACUCCGCCUGGGGAGUACGGCCGCAAGGCUGAAACUCAAAUGAAUUGACGGGG
rnacentral:rRNA from 1 species